rnacentral:lncRNA from 1 species
AAUUAACAAGACCAUUAAUGAAUACCAAGCUCCCCAUGCAGGAUCUGGGCCAAUCUUUGGACCAAAGCCAAUGGCAAAAUCUGUGCCAUUGGCUAUCUCUAAGCCUGAAACAUCCGUGAAAAGUAAUUUAGUUAAUGAACAAAGGGCCUCUGCUCAUGUAGGAACUGCAGACAUUAGAGGAAGUAGGCCAUUAGUUCAUUCCACAUCAGACCUAAAUUUGGAAAUGAUUAAGAAACUGAUUAAUGAGUAUGGAGCACCUGACUAUAUAGAGGGGAAGCCCUUUGUAAAUUCUGAGUUAGUUCCUUCACUGGUUUCGUCAAGGGCAAAAUUUCCUGUUGCUAUGCAGCCUGAGCUGCAAAUAAAGUCGUAUUCAUCAAAUACUGGACACACGUCCCCAUUCUCCUCAAUGACUAAUGCUGCCCCUCUACACAAGGAUAUCAAUUACUGCAAAUCCUUGAUCAAGCAACAUGGAGAAAAUCGUGAAACUGUGGGUCGCGAAAUCUUACAAAAUAUCAAUCCUUAUGGUAAUACGCGAGGACCAGAAUCGUUAAAGAACCUAAAACCAAAUCAGGCCAGCCUGAAUUUUCAGAAGCAUUGUGUUUUCUUCAACACACCAAGGGAAUGCGUAAAUGGCACCACUUGCCCCUUCCUGCAAGAUAUGUCCAAACAAUGGAGGUCUGGGGAGAUGAUGGAAGCUCCGGCUCCAAAGAGAAUGAAGUUAGGUGGGGAACUUAUUGGUAGGACAUGAUUCAGGAGGUAUCCGUUUUCUUUAAUACAGAAAACCAGUGAGAAGCAGUUGCGCAUUCCGUUUUCCUUUUCUUUGGGGAAAUUUUGAAGAGCAUCCCUUUUAGACUUAGCAUAGACAUUUAGAAUGAGUUGGCUUUUAUAUGAGAAAAGUUUUGAUUUGAAACUUGGAAGUUGGAUGAAGCGCUUCUUGCCUCGAGAAAUUUUUUCUUUUAACAAGUUUAAUGAAGCCUUAUUUGCUUUUAAGUCAGAGUUUCUGAUGCUUCAAGGAUUGAUGAAACUGGUUUUGGACCCAAGCUCCUCUAGGGUCAUAAUUCUGGGUAUUGAAGGCUCCCAAUUUCAGAGAAUACUGCAUGCAUACAUGAGUCUCCGCCUUCCCAUUUGAUAAAAGUGGCAUGCAGAAUAUACAGACUUAAGAGCACCCUUAAUCCCAAUUCGCAUGUUGGUUUACACAUUAUGUUAGUGGCAAUUAACUAACAAGAUUAUAAACCAUUUAAUAGAUGAAAUUUGGUAAUUUGAAUUCUUUAAAAGUGGUGAAAAUCAUAUAGAAUAAUACUAAUAAUGUGAUCUGAUAACCAUUUUAGAACCUUAUAAGAUGAAUAACAGUAUUACAUCACUCGGGGAAAAAAAGAGUAUUAUAUGAAUGGGAUAAAAGGUGCUAGUACAAAAUUAAGAGAAAGAAGUGGUGUGUGGACCACCACGCAAUCUUGUCUGUUUGUCGUCUUAAAAUAGUGUAAAGAGUUGAGAUCCAAGGGAACUUACAAUUCUUCGUGACAAUUCAAGCUAGUUGCCUGAAUGAAUGAAAUUUCUUAACAAAGACGAAAUGGUAUUUGUCGUAAAACCUGAGUCAAGUGCCUUUGGAUCGUCAUUUCAAACGAGAGAGAGAGGGGUGUCGUUCUUACUUCUUACCAACAACUUAUACAAAGUUGAAACUUGACAUAAUCGUUCUUGCAGAUAGACAAGUCAACCACCCAUAAUAUUAUCAUUCAAAUACAUUCGAGUUCAUAUAUGUAUCAAUUUUCAACUCAAACACACUGAUAAUUGGGAACAUAACAGAGGCCGAACUUAUUGACUGAUAUGCGUCAAUAUGUUGUCAUGAGUAAAGAUCAUACAUUAGCUGGACAACAAAACAAUGCUACCUAUGUUACUUAAUGCAAAAAUUAGAAGAGGGAGUGGUGUUUCUUUUGCUCCUGUUGUCAAGAAUCCUCAGUAGUUUUAUCAACUUUGCGUUAGUUUAUGCUUUUCACUGAUCUCACAUGUCCUUCCAGUUCCAGCAACAGAGAGGAAUCCCAAUAAUUAGACAAUGUAAGAAGAUGGAUCAAUUGGCUAAGAAUCAGGGUGAAAUUUAUUUGCAUAUACAAAAUCAUGGAAGACUAGGUUCAAUUUUGCCAAUAUAAAGUUACCUGAGGUGGAAUAAUCAAGGUCCGUGCUAGCCACUUUAUCAAGAAAAACAAUAAUUAUAUGCCUCAAGGAUAUUAAUAAAUGUAAUACACAUUAUAUGCUAAUUAAAGAUACCUUCUAAGACUCGUCCUCGCAAAGGUGUUUUAAUAGUCCCUGGAGUUCCUUGCUGUUAUUUAAUUUUUACCCUUGCUUUAACUAUAGCUCACACCUUUCUAGCAGGCACUCAUUUAUCUUACUACAAUCAAAAAUUGAUUAUCAAUGUUCAUAUUUCUCUAUUUGCUUCAUCUAUAUUAUUUGAGAAAAUAAUUUUUAAUUUGGUAAAACUUAUUAUUUGACGGAAUUACAAUGACAUUGUUGUAGCCUAAGUUCUUGAUCUCAAUUUUCACUACUCUCUCCCUUUCUUUGGGUGAAAUUAUGUGUAUGAGAGUCAAACUACUUAAAUUUUGAUGUAAAUUCGUAGAUUCUUCAAAAAAUUAAAAUAACAAGGAACACAAGGUAACUCCAAAAGACUUUUAUACCUUUGUUUAAAUUCAGUAAGGAUAACUCUGAGGACUAUAGCCGGAGAAGGAGGACGACGACGUUUUCGACUUCUCCUUAUACUUCCCCGCCGGCGAUCCGCUGAGAAGAACGGAACCUUCUUCCUCCUCAGAUCGGACUCUAUUUUCACUUGAUUUUACAACAAAGAGUGCGUAAAACAUAUAUAGAGGAAGUAGCUGCUCGGCUUUUGAGGUUUUUUUUACAAAGAUACACUUCUCAGUGGAGUAAACUGAUUACUGCGGGAACACGCAUUUGGUUUUUUAUUUUUAUUUCAAAAGAAUAAAAAUAAGGUGAUUAAUUUUGACAGACAGUGGGUUUCACUUUUCUACAAGAAGCAAUUCCAUUCAAAAGCUAUUGCAGCUCAAUCGCAUGAUUAAACGAAUUCUAGCAGAAGUGAAUUGGAAGUUUGGAGUCGGACCAAUAUUGACUUAGAAUUGUUUACUUGGACUCAUUCAUUGAGUAUAAAAUUAAGCUUUUACUCCCUGCAGCAGGAUAGAAAACUCUCGCCCAUAAGGUGUGUUUGACCAAAAGAUAUAAAAACUUUUUUGAUUAAAACCACUAAAAAUAAGGAUGAG